AAGGUUUGUAUAACCCUUCAGAGCAGACCCUUCCAACUUGAAUACCUAGAGACAAGGUAUUUCAAGACCUUCCUGGAUCUUUUUGUCCCCUGACCCCUUUUUCUCUUGCACUCUGAUACUUUUAUUCUUCUUUCAGGAAAUACUGGUCAUGUCCCAUUGAGCUGAUUUCAUGACUGAAUGUUUCAAAAAUACUAUGUAACCUCUACAUCCAAUAUGGGGCUCCAGCUCACGGCCUCAAGAUCAAGAGUCACAUGCUGUAUGACUGAGCAGCCAGGUGUGCCUGCACGCAUUUAUUUAUUUAUUUAUUUAUUUAUUUAUUUAUUUAUUUUAAAAGAUUUAUUUAUUUGAGAGAAGGGGGGGUUGUGUGGGAGGGGUAGAGAGACAUGGAGAGAUAGAAUCUCAAGCGACUCCACACUCAGUGUGGAGCACAAUGCAGGGCUGGAUCUCAUGACCUUGAGAUCAUGACCUGAGCUGAAAUCAAGACCCAGAGGCUCAACCCAUUGAGCCACCUCGGUGCCCCGGCAUGCACUUAUUUUGAAGAUCCCUCUGCAAAUCAUGUGAAUACCCAUCAAAGUGUACUUAGAGUCCACAUUAAAAAGUUUUGGCAGCAACCUAUUUAGAAGGUGGUUGUUUUUUUUUUUUAAAGAUUUUAAAAAAUUUAUUCAUUUGAUGCAGAGAGACACAGAGAGAGAGCAUGAGCAGGGGGAGAGGCAGAGGUAGAGGGAGAAGCAGACUCUCUGCUGAGCCAGAUACAAGGCGCUCAGUCCCAGGACCCUGGGAUCAUGAACUGAGCUGAAGGCAGACGCUUAACCGACUAAGCCACCCAGGUGUCCCUUUGUCAUUCUUUAUUACUUGGAAUACUCCUAUAAAAAGAAAAUUUCCUUCAUCUACUUUUUGGUUUACUCAGUGGUACAGUUUCUUUAGAAAAAUUAGCACUUAUUGAUUUUGACUUUCAUAUUUUAAAGCCAUCAACUUUUUUUUUUUUUCCCCCAGGUCUCAAACAUUUUCAUAAGCGGUGUGUUAACAGUGCUUACCGGGUAAAACCCCUGACCGGAUGGACUGAAAGUAGGAAAAUAAGGAGGCGGGGCCAGUGGUGACACGAACUUGGCCAAAAGCAUAUGCAUCCUCAGCUACAGCAGAUUUUCUCUUUUUAACUUGAUCACAUAAGGUUCGCCUAUAUAAAGGUUUACAUUAAAAAAAAAAGCCAUCAUAUCUGAGAACCUUGACGUUUUGUUUUCCUUGAAGGGUACAUACGCUUUUCCCUUAUCAUUGAUAAACAUCAAUAAACUAUCUGUAUUUUCCUGCUUAGCA
rnacentral:lncRNA from 1 species